AGAGAGAUCAAAGGCAAAAACAUUGGUAGUGUAGAUAUUGCAACAUACAGUCAGAAGUAACCAUGUGCUUGGGAGUGACUAUUCAUUUUCAAGAGACCAGAAGUUCAAAUAGCCAGAUGGUUAGAGUUGCUACCAAUGUGUGAUUUCACCAUACAACUGGACGAUAUUCAUGGCAAUGCAGAUGCUUAGUUGAGAAGACUAUUAACGCAUAUACGAGUCUGGUCUCGUAUAUGCGGAUUUAUCGCAGUGACGCUAUCAUUUUAUCCAUUGCAGAUAAAUUAGGUCCAUUCGGAAACGGAUCAAUUCAGCCUUUCCGGAUCAUGUAAGUUCAUGUGGAUUUACUUAAAAUAAUGUAAUUUUAACUUCCUUUCUAGAAUCGAGAAUUAAGUUAGGUGGGUAAAUUUGCUGAGAGCAGAAUAUUGCUAUUUUUAUUUUUUUUGACAAUAUACUGCUGUUUUGUUUUUUUUAAAUUUUCGUUGUAGUUGAAGAUGAUCAGUGGUGUCAGCUUUCAUUCCGGACUACGUCGCGGUGGUGAAUGCUGUUUGGUUGUAUUCCGUCGCACCUCAACGCAGUUGGAUGAGUGCAACACAUUCUUAAGCUCAUUACAUUGUUUUGAUAUUGAACUGUUGAUUUGGAAUUUGUACUUUGAACAUUGAACUUGACCAUUCCGCAUUGAAUGAUACUUGACUAUUGGGCAUUGAACUGUAAUUUACUAUUGAUUGUUUAUUGUUUUGGUGACGUUCAUGCACUUGUGCCAUACCCAGUGCAUGAUCCGCCCAAUUUGGGGCCGUCACAUAUUUUGUAUUGAUUGAUUGAUUGUUAUUGAGGGGCAGCCCUGUGGUAACCCCUGCAAGUAAUCACCGCGGUCAGAAGCGCCAUAAUAAACUAGUAUAAACACA